GAUGAACGCUGGCGGCGUGCCUAACACAUGCAAGUCGAACGGAGUUGUCACCAUGAAGUUUUCGGAUGGAAUGGAGGCAACUUAGUGGCGGACGGGUGAGUAACGCGUGGGUAACCUGCCUCAUACUGGGGGAUAACAGCUGGAAACGGCUGCUAAAACCGCAUAAGAUCGCAUCACCGCAUGGUGAGGCGGUUAAAUAUCGAAAGAUAGGUAUGAGAUGGGCCCGCGUCUGAUUAGCUAGUUGGUGAGAUAAGAGCCCACCAAGGCGACGAUCAGUAGCCGGCUUGAGAGAGUGACCGGCCACAUUGGGACUGAGACACGGCCCAAACUCCUACGGGAGGCAGCAGUGGGGAAUAUUGCACAAUGGGGGAAACCCUGAUGCAGCGACGCCGCGUGAGUGAAGAAGUGCUUCGGCAUGUAAAGCUCUAUCAGCAGGGAAGAAGAUGACGGUACCUGACUAAGAAGCCCCGGCUAACUACGUG
rnacentral:rRNA from 1 species